rnacentral:rRNA from 1 species
UAGGGAAUCUUCGGCAAUGGGCGAAAGCCUGACCGAGCAACGCCGCGUGAGCGAUGAAGGCCUUCGGGUCGUAAAGCUCUGUUGUUAGAGAAGAACAAGUACGAGAGUAACUGCUCGUACCUUGACGGUACCUAACCAGAAAGCCACGGCUAACUACGUGCCAGCAGCCGCGGUAAUACGUAGGUGGCAAGCGUUAUCCGGAAUUAUUGGGCGUAAAGCGCGCGCAGGCGGUCUCCUAAGUCUGAUGUGAAAGCCCACGGCUCAACCGUGGAGGGUCAUUGGAAACUGGGAGACUUGAGUGCAGGAGAGAAAAGUGGAAUUCCACGUGUAGCGGUGAAAUGCGUAGAGAUGUGGAGGAACACCAGUGGCGAAGGCGGCUUUUUGGCCUGUAACUGACGCUGAGGCGCGAAAGCGUGGGGAGCAAACAGG